CAGCGUCACGAGUGGCAAUCAUUUUUAUUUGGCCUAAAGCGUCCGUAGCCGGUUUUGUAAAUCUUUUGUGAAAUUGUUGGGCUCAACUCAACAACGUGCAGAAGACACUGCAAGACUAGGAACCGGGAGGAGUCAGAGGUAUUCUAGGGGGAGCGGUAAAAUGUUGUAAUCCUUAGAAGACCACCUGUGGCGAAGGCGUCUGACCAGAACGGAUUCGACGGUGAGGAACGAAAGCUAGGGGAGCGAUCCGGAUUAGAUACCCGAGUAGUCC
rnacentral:rRNA from 1 species